rnacentral:rRNA from 1 species
UGGGGGAACUAAGGAAGUUUCACUCCCAACCCCAAUGUGAACGUUACCAAACUGUUGCCUCGGCGGGAAUUCUGCCCCGGGCGCGUCCCAGCCCCGGACCAAGGCGCCCGCCGGAGGACCAACCCAAAACUCUUAUUGUAUACCCCUCGCGGGUUUUUUAUAUCUGAGCCUUCUCGGCGCCCCUAGCGGGCGUUUCGAAAAUGAAUCAAAACUUUCAACAACGGAUCUCUUGGUUCUGGCAUCGAUGAAGAACGCAGCGAAAUGCGAUAAGUAAUGUGAAUUGCAGAAUUCAGUGAAUCAUCGAAUCUUUGAACGCACAUUGCGCCCGCCAGUAUUCUGGCGGGCAUGCCUGUCCGAGCGUCAUUUCAACCCUCGAACCCCUCCGGGGGUCCGGCGUUGGGGAUCGGCCCUUAACCGGCCGGCCCCGAAAUACAGUGGCGGCCUUGCCGCAGCCUCUCAUGCGCAGUAGUUUGCACACUCGCACCGGGAGCGCGGCGCGGCCACAGCCGUAAAACAAACCAAACUCUGAAAUGUUGACCUCGGAUCAGGUAGGAAUACCCGCUGAACUUAAGCAUAUCAAUAAGCGGAGGAAACGAGUUUAA